GCCUCUGCGAGAGGGUAUUUAAGAGCCUCGCUGUGUCCUGUAGGUCUUGUUUUUUCUCUGCUGCUUUGGGGUUGAGGCGCACGUUUGGACGCUCAGGGACCCGGAUCACGCCUCAUGUUAGAGUAUGGCUCCGUUCCAGAGAGCCUGCAGGUUGGAGGAUGGGACAGGACCUGUCCUCGUGCCGAUCGGUCCUGGCCGCGAUGCUCCGGAUCUCGUCGGUCCUGAGGGAUUCCGCUGCCUCCCGGGGUGACUAAGGUUGUCCUGCUGAUGAUCUAUUCAUCUACCUAAAUGAUCGUGCCAUUGAUCUGCCCGGGGUUGAACUCGUGGAAAGAGGUGGAAGUGGAGCAGCUGGGUCCUGUGUGCUCCGGGGAAGCCUCCAGAGUUGACAGGUCCUGUUAGCCCUAACCUGCUUGCUUGUGCAUUCAAAGGUCCAGCACCUUCGCGGGGGCCCAAGAGUGGUUUGAGGGGAAGUGGAAGCUGUAUUUCUGCUCAGCUUCAGUCUGAAGUUAGAGGUCUAAAGAAAGAACAAAGCAUUAUAAUGGAAUCCAAUUCUUUGAAGACAAGAGAAUUUUCAAGCAAUUGCUUGUAUAAUGUAGCUGUUUAAAUUUUCAAAUAAUUUCCAUCCUUAAAAAUAAAGGCUCUUUUUAUCCUUCA